rnacentral:rRNA from 1 species
AAUAGAUACCCUGGUAGUCCACGCCGUAAACGAUGAGUGCUAAGUGUUAGGGGGUUUCCGCCCCUUAGUGCUGCAGCUAACGCAUUAAGCACUCCGCCUGGGGAGUACGGUCGCAAGACUGAAACUCAAAGGAAUUGACGGGGGCCCGCACAAGCGGUGGAGCAUGUGGUUUAAUUCGAAGCAACGCGAAGAACCUUACCAGGUCUUGACAUCCCGCUGACCGCUAUGGAGACAUAGCCUUCCCUUCGGGGACAGCGGUGACAGGUGGUGCAUGGUUGUCGUCAGCUCGUGUCGUGAGAUGUUGGGUUAAGUCCCGCAACGAGCGCAACCCUUGAGAUUAGUUGCCAUCAUUCAGUUGGGCACUCUAAUCUGACUGCCGGUGAUAAACCGGAGGAAGGUGGGGAUGACGUCAAAUCAUCAUGCCCCUUAUGACCUGGGCUACACACGUGCUACAAUGGACGGUACAAACGGUUGCCAACCCGCGAGGGGGAGCCAAUCCGAUAAAACCGUUCUCAGUUCGGAUUGUAGGCUGCAACUCG